GGGUUUUGUGUAUGUCGACCAGGAACAAGGAAAGGAGGGAAGAACCCUAACUCCUCAAAAAUCUUCAAAAUUGGAAGGGGAAUUCAGCUCAAACCCGAUGCAUGAACCCUAAUAUAUGAUCAUCAAGGCUUGCUGAACAUGUGGAAUCAUGUCAAGAUGGAUGGGAGAGUUGAAGUCCAACGGGCUAAGAAGACUCAAUCAAGUAAGCGAACGCAAAUACGGACGCGCAAGGUAAAUCUAUUGCUUGAUGCGGCGCACCCGGACCGAGCACACACGACGUUGACCUUAAUACGCUUCCGGUUCAAGUUGUUUCUUUUGAAUGG